UAAUACCGCGAUAUAGAUAGACGUUUAUAAAACAGUUACAUAUUAUUAUGUAAAAUACAAAAGUCUGGAAAAAAUAUUGAAUAAUACAUAAUAAUAUUUUAUAUUUAUAUACUGAUAGGUACAGCACCAAGUAUUUAAUUGUGUUUACCUAUGCUCACAUGCGAUUAAUGCAGAAUUAUAUAUCGUCCGUUUUCAUAUAAGGACGUCCAUCAUUCGUUGAAAUGGCCUUGUCGAAUCGUCAUGAAAAACCGAAAAUCUUUACGCUGAUAUACAACCUAUCAGGAGGAGCUAUCAAUGCUCAAUUCAUCAUUACGGUGAUUGCGGCACUGGGAGCGAUAGCCACUGGUACCAUACUCGGAUGGUCGUCAUCGGCCCAGACCAUGUUCGAAUCGGACGAGUCGCUGUUGCCGUUUACGGUCACCGCAAAGGACACGCAGACGUUCAGUUCGGUGUUUGGCAUUGGCGCGGCCCUGGGAGCGCUACCGGCAGGAUACGUGUCCAGGACGUUUGGUCGACCGGCCAGUAUAAUGUUGUUCGAGGGAUUCUUGUUGGUCGGCUGGAUCAUGCUGGUGUUGCCCACUUACGUUUGGGUGCUGUCUUCCGGCCGGAUGAUGCAAGGCAUCGGAGCCGGAGCUCUGUGCGCCGUUAUUCCGUCGUACGUCGGCGAGAUAGCUGAGCCACGGAUGAGAGGUCGUCUGGGAACGAUAUUCCAAUUAUUCAUAGUCAUCGGUAUACUGUACUCGUAUACGUCGGGUGCGUUUAUGAAUUACAUGCCGUUUUGCAUCGCUUGUGCUUUUUGGGUGAUAUUACAUUUUAUCGGCGUCCUGUACAUACCCGAAUCGCCGUACCAUCUUAUGAACAUCAACGAUCCCGACCGGGCGGCCGCUUCGCUGCAGAUACUCAGAGACUCGUCGGACACAACUGAAGAAUUGGCAUCCAUCAAGACGUUUGUCGAAAAACAGCAAUCUCAAAGUUUUACAGUGUUGGAAGUUUUGUCUGACAAAGUGAAUCGCAAGGCCUUGUUAAUCAGUAUUGGAUGUAUGUUUUUCCAGCAAAUGAGUGGUAUAAACGUGGUAAUAUUUUACAUGACCGACAUAUUCAAAUCGACCGGCAGCAACAUAAGUCCGAAUACGUGCACCAUAAUCGUCGGUAUUGUACAGCUCGUCAUGACAGUCGUAUCUUUUACUAUAAUCGACAAGAGUGGUCGAAAGGCGUUACUCGUGAUCUCGGCGUUACUGAUGGCGACCUGCUACGCGGGAUUGGGUGGAUUUUUCUUGAUCAAAACGCAUUACCUAGAACUGGCGUCAAAACUCAACUGGUUGCCCCUAGUGUGCAUCGCUGUGUACAUAUCGGCGUUUUCCAUCGGCUACGGUCCCGUGCCAUGGAUAAUGAUGGGCGAAAUAUAUUCGUCGGAGGUAAAGCCAAUCGGGACGAGUCUGACUACCUGUACCAACUGGACGCUAGUGUUCGUGGUCACGUACGUGUCUACAGAGCUGACUCGUUGGCUGGGCCAAGCUGGUUGCUUCCUAACAUUCAGCGCGUUUUGCUUGAUGGGAGCAGCGUUUGCUGCAUCUAUUGUACCAGAAACGAAAAACAAGACAUUGGCCGAAAUACAGCUGAAACUAGUCGGAAAAUCUAAGAUCAUCCCGGUGGCGGUCAAUGUUGUGGAGGUUGUGGGGGAUGAGGCGCCUCAAAUGACUACCACGUUUUCAUAAAUUCAACGUUUAAAUCUUGAUCGACGUUUUCCAAACGGGAUAUCCAAGAUCUUCCCUCUCCACCAUGGCCAAUAAUUGCCAGUUCUAUAUACACAUGUGCACCUACCGUUGAAAGAGUAAUUAAAACUAUCCUCCGAAGAUACCAACUUUUUUUCAAAUGAGAAUCACCAUGUUUCCUGUUAAUUGUUAAGUAGAUGAUUUUUUUUGAACACGUUGAUGUAUCCAAAUCGAAAUUCAACCAAAUAUUUUUGGAGUUAAUUAAUAAUUUUUACGAAAAAUAAUAUCUUCAUGAUAAUAGAUUUGAUAUAAAUUCCUACAUCAUCAUGAAAAAAAAAAUUAUCUGCUUAAUAAUUUAUUAUUUGAAAAUGUGUUCUUUAAGUAUAUAAUACAUAAUACAAUAAAGAAGAAAACUUUGAAGUGAGUAUCAUGCUUGUGAAUCGCCCUGUAAAGUUUUAUAAGAUAUGUUUAGGAGAUUAGAAUUCUCAAACAUAUUUAAGUCUCGCGGCGAAACAUGUUUUUCAGUACUUAUUCAUUUACAAUUAAUGUAUUCCAUAAAUAAUAUAAUAAACCAUAAUGAAAACUCGA
rnacentral:misc_RNA from 1 species